GUGGUGAGCUGGAGAAAACUGAAGCAGGAGUUGGGAGGUGAACAACUCUGGCCAGUGUCAGGUCCAUUUAUUUCAGCAAAUAUUUAUUGACAACCACCCAGCCAGCUCCUGGGUGGAUGCUGCUCAGACGGUCCUUGCCCUCCAGGUUCCCGGAGCCAGGAGGGAGAGUCACAAACCCAAGCAAAGCUAAUAGAAGCCGAGUGUGGAUAAAUGCUGUAAUCAAGGUUCAAACAAUUCAAUGAAACAGGAAGGAAGUAGUUCAUUCUGCCCAGACAGACCAGGAGCGAUCUUUGAGUGGAGGCUGGACGAGAAUCUGGCCUGAAGAAGUGGCGGAAGACUGAGAGGCACAACUGGAGGUGGUGACUCAGGGAUCCAAGCUGUCCCAUCCUGGAUUUGCAUCACUCAAUGUCACUUCAAAAGCGGGCAGGGGAAGAGUCUGGGAGAUUGCACGGGAUGUUUCUAAAGACCACCCCUGAAAGUGCCUUACAUCACUUCACCUACAUUUCUUUGAACACAGUCACAGAGAUAGAAGCUCACUGCCAGGAAUGCUGGGAAAUGUAGGCUUCCACUGUACCUGGGGAAAGUAAAGCCUAUAGCAAACACACAGCAGCUUUGACUCUGCCACAAGAGUUACAUCUGGAUUGGAAUUCUGCCUCUGUCUGCUAGCUUGGAGCUCUUUGGAUCUUUUUCUUCAUUCAAAACUUGGAACUAAUGACACCUACCCACAAGAUGUACAGAAUGUCACAUAUAUAGCUGUCAGAUAUUAAGAAUCAGACUUCUUCCUGAAUAGUGACUUCAAGGAUGGGUACUAUACUGAAAAUGGAAUGUCUCAGAUUGGCUUUCCAGAAAAGUGCCUGAGAUAAAGACAAGAAUAUAUCAAGGUUUCUGGGAAGACAAGUAAUGAAGUACAGGAAGCAGGAGAAGGGAAACAGGAGGAAGACAAACAAGGGGGCAACUUCAGGCAAAGCCUCACCAAACCCUAGAGCUAAGCAAAGCUU